rnacentral:tRNA from 2 species
UUAUGGUUAAACGCCAUAAUUGCCUA